UGGGGAAUAUUGCACAAUGGGCGAAAGCCUGAUGCAGCAACGCCGCGUGAGUGAUGAAGGCCUUCGGGUUGUAAAGCUCUGUCUUUUGGGACGAUAAUGACGGUACCAAAGGAGGAAGCCACGGCUAACUACGUGCCAGCAGCCGCGGUAAUACGUAGGUGGCAAGCGUUGUCCGGAUUUACUGGGCGUAAAGGAUGCGUAGGCGGAUUUUUAAGUGAGAUGUGAAAACCCUAAGCUUAACUUGGGGACUGCAUUUCAUACUGGAAAUCUAGAGUGCGGGAGAGGAGAAUGGAAUUCCUAGUGUAGCGGUGAAAUGCGUAGAGAUUAGGAAGAACACCAGUGGCGAAGGCGAUUCUCUGGACCGUAACUGACGCUGAGGCAUGAAAGCGUGGGUAGCAAAACAGGAUUAGAUACCCUGGUAGUCCACGCCGUAAACGAUGAGUACUAGGUGUAGGAGGUAUCGACCCCUUCUGUGCCGCAGUUAACACAAUAAGUACUCCGCCUGGGAAGUACGAUCGCAAGAUU
rnacentral:rRNA from 1 species